GACGAACGCUGGCGGCGUGCCUAAUACAUGCAAGUAGAACGCUGAAGAGAGGAGCUUGCUCUUCUUGGAUGAGUUGCGAACGGGUGAGUAACGCGUAGGUAACCUGCCUUGUAGCGGGGGAUAACUAUUGGAAACGAUAGCUAAUACCGCAUAACAAUGGAUGACACAUGUCAUUUAUUUGAAAGGGGCAAUUGCUCCACUACAAGAUGGACCUGCGUUGUAUUAGCUAGUAGGUGAGGUAACGGCUCACCUAGGCGACGAUACAUAGCCGACCUGAGAGGGUGAUCGGCCACACUGGGACUGAGACACGGCCCAGACUCCUACGGGAGGCAGCAGUAGGGAAUCUUCGGCAAUGGGGGCAACCCUGACCGAGCAACGCCGCGUGAGUGAAGAAGGUUUUCGGAUCGUAAAGCUCUGUUGUAAGUCAAGAACGAGUGUGAGAGUGGAAAGUUCACACUGUGACGGUAGCUUACCAGAAAGGGACGGCUAACUACGUGCCAGCAGCCGCGGUAAUACGUAGGUCCCGAGCGUUGUCCGGAUUUAUUGGGCGUAAAGCGAGCGCAGGCGGUUUGAUAAGUCUGAAGUUAAAGGCUGUGGCUCAACCAUAGUUCGCUUUGGAAACUGUCAAACUUGAGUGCAGAAGGGGAGAGUGGAAUUCCAUGUGUAGCGGUGAAAUGCGUAGAUAUAUGGAGGAACACCGGUGGCGAAAGCGGCUCUCUGGUCUGUAACUGACGCUGAGGCUCGAAAGCGUGGGGAGCGAACAGGAUUAGAUACCCUGGUAGUCCACGCCGUAAACGAUGAGUGCUAGGUGUUGGAUCCUUUCCGGGAUUCAGUGCCGCAGCUAACGCAUUAAGCACUCCGCCUGGGGAGUACGACCGCAAGGUUGAAACUCAAAGGAAUUGACGGGGGCCCGCACAAGCGGUGGAGCAUGUGGUUUAAUUCGAAGCAACGCGAAGAACCUUACCAGGUCUUGACAUCCCGAUGCUAUUUCUAGAGAUAGAAAGUUACUUCGGUACAUCGGUGACAGGUGGUGCAUGGUUGUCGUCAGCUCGUGUCGUGAGAUGUUGGGUUAAGUCCCGCAACGAGCGCAACCCCUAUUGUUAGUUGCCAUCAUUCAGUUGGGCACUCUAGCGAGACUGCCGGUAAUAAACCGGAGGAAGGUGGGGAUGACGUCAAAUCAUCAUGCCCCUUAUGACCUGGGCUACACACGUGCUACAAUGGUUGGUACAACGAGUUGCGAGUCGGUGACGGCAAGCUAAUCUCUUAAAGCCAAUCUCAGUUCGGAUUGUAGGCUGCAACUCGCCUACAUGAGGUCGGAAUCGCUAGUAAUCGCGGAUCAGCACGCCGCGGUGAAUACGUUCCCGGGCCU
rnacentral:rRNA from 1 species